rnacentral:rRNA from 1 species
UACAGAGGGGGCAAGCGUUAUUCGGAAUCACUGGGCGUAAAGGGCGCGUAGGCGGCCCGCGCAAGCGUGCGGUGAAAGCCCGGGGCUCAACCCCGGGUCGGCCGUGCGGACUGCGGGGCUCGAGCACUGUAGGGGCAGAUGGAAUUCCGGGUGUAGCGGUGGAAUGCGUAGAGAGUCCGGAAGAACACCAGUGGCGAAGGCGGCUGGCUGGACCUGACCUGACGCUGAGGCGCGAAGGCGUGGGGAGCGAACGGG